rnacentral:rRNA from 1 species
CAGCAGCGCGGUAACACGUAGGGGGCAAGCGUUAUCCGGCAUAACUGGGCGUAAAGGGUGCGCAGGUGGUUUAACAAGUUAGUGGUGAAAGGCAUAGGCUCAACCAAUGUAGCCAUUAAAACUGUUUAACUUGAGUGCAGGAGAGGAAAGUGGAAUUCCUAGUGUAGCGGUGAAAUGCGUAGAUAUUAGGAGGAAUACCAGUGGCGAAGGCGACUUUCUGGACUGCAACUGACACUGAGGCACGAAAGCGUGGGGAGCAAACAGGAUUAGAUACCCCAGUAGUCCCUGUCUCUUAUACACA